UUUUUUGUUAACCUGUUAACUACAAAUUUUUAAUUGUGGUAAAAAGCAUUUUUUUGUCUUUCUUUUCAGGCUACCUUUUUGCUUGACUCUUGCGUGAUUUCACAUGACCUUAUAGAAGUCUGCUGUAACAUGUGAUCUCAGGAUCAGCAUCACUCCCUCAGGGAUCACAUGCAUCAUCACUUGAUUUGCUUAGAAAGUCAGGCACAAAAGAGUCCUUGUGAUCUCAUGGCUGGAGAGGAUUUGUCUGCUGUUGAUCAGAGCAGAGAGAUUCUUGUAUUAUUUACUGUAUACUGAUUGUCUCAGGAUGACGGAGAACGUCUGAGUUUGUGUUUAGGCUUUUAGUACAUUAGUUCUGCAAAUACACCUUAUUUAAGAUGAGGAAAAAAAGGUUUUCUGGGCUUUAUGACAUAAAACUGUGCUGAGUAUUUUAAUCAUACAUCUUAUAUAGUUAAAAAUACUUUUGGUGCUGGGUUUUUAUUCCUUAAAUGCCUUUUUGCUACAAAAGUAACACUAAAUUCCCAAAGAAAAGAAAGCUGGAUGUUUUAACCUUUUCACCACAAGAUUCCUUACUGACAGGGGAAGUUAUAGCUUUUAGACUUAAAAAAUAACUAAAUGUCUUUAAGAAGCAAAAAAAGAAAUCCACUUACCUUUUAUGUAGAGAUGAAAGACUUUGGUAUGAAACGGCACCUAGAAACACUUUUUUUUUCAAUGAAGCAAGAAACUAAACUUUGGGGAAAAUAAUAGUCAUCUUAAUAAAAUAAGAUGAAUGAAAUAAGAUGUUUUUAAAACCUUUUGAAAAAGGGGUUAAGUUAAAUUUGGAUCGUGCUAAUGAGAGUGGAGUCUAAAAAAAGCCUGUAUCAAAUAUUUUAUAAAUGUUCAUGAUGCAGUAGAAUACGGAUCCUCUGGGAACCCCUCCAACGACCCCAAUAAAGAAGUCUAUGGGGAAGAUAAACCCAAAGACCCGGUCAGAGCAGACUGGGAUUAGACUGCAGUAGAAACUUAAAGCAGGCAAAGGGCAGACAUUGUGUGGCAAUGCCUCCUCCUUUAAUCUUUUCUGGGCUCCCAUUGUAGAUAGGCUCUGACCCCAUCUUGUUGUUUGAUGUGUCACAUUACAACAAUGGAGAGGAAAUAGUGAGGAGAUUGAGGUAAGUGGGUAAGUGCAGUGAGGUAAAGAAACGUCUGGAGAACUCACUACUUCUGGGUCUGGGGAAGGUAUUAACAAUUCUGUUAAUAAAAACAAGGCAUUAUCACUAAAUAUAUCCUUUUCAUUCAAAGUGACCCUAUUACAUUUUCUAUGAUUGCCAACUCUAAUUCAUAUCCAUCCUCUUUCAAUUCUAUCUUCUUUAAGCACAACUAGAACAUCAGAAUUGUCUCACCCUAAAGACAGUUCUCUUAAUCCCAACCUGACCUUUUUCUACUGUGAAACAGCCUCAUACGUUCAUAGCCUCAGGCAUUUUUAACACACCAAAGACAAUAAACUUCGUUAUGACCACUGC